AUUGAACGCUGGCGGCAGGCUUAACACAUGCAAGUCGAGCGGAGAUGAGGUGCUUGCACCUUAUCUUAGCGGCGGACGGGUGAGUAAUGCUUAGGAAUCUGCCUAUUAGUGGGGGACAACAUUCCGAAAGGGAUGCUAAUACCGCAUACGUCCUACGGGAGAAAGCAGGGGAUCUUCGGACCUUGCGCUAAUAGAUGAGCCUAAGUCGGAUUAGCUAGUUGGUGGGGUAAAGGCCUACCAAGGCGACGAUCUGUAGCGGGUCUGAGAGGAUGAUCCGCCACACUGGGACUGAGACACGGCCCAGACUCCUACGGGAGGCAGCAGUGGGGAAUAUUGGACAAUGGGCGGAAGCCUGAUCCAGCCAUGCCGCGUGUGUGAAGAAGGCCUUUUGGUUGUAAAGCACUUUAAGCGAGGAGGAGGCUACCUGGAUUAAUACUCUAGGAUAGUGGACGUUACUCGCAGAAUAAGCACCGGCUAACUCUGUGCCAGCAGCCGCCGUAAGAC
rnacentral:rRNA from 1 species